UCAUGCUGUGGUUUAUAUUCAU
rnacentral:siRNA from 1 species